CAAGUGAGUGAAAGAAUUAAUGCAUAGAAGCAAAAUGUACUUUAGGAUUAUGACUAGUGAUCCAACAGCACAAAGGAGUGUCUGCCUCUGCGUGGAAGAGUUAGAGAAGCUCCCUCACCUGGGUCCACUGUCCUGAAAUUAUACCAAACCUGUUUCACAAUGCCAUUUUCCCUACUUUGAGGAUGUAAACACACAGCACAGGUCCCAUCUGUUGGAAGGACCUGGGAACCUGAAAGGGACCUUAAAAACCAGAGGACAUCUGACAGGGAGAAGGUGACAGGCCCAAGGUCCCUGUCCAGCUCUUUGGCAUUCAAAGUCCCUCUCUAGCUCAAAUAUUCAAUGAGGCUUAGUCCUCCCUGACUAUAGCCACAAUCUGUCUUCUCCCCACAGAAGCAGGUGCAUGGUUUUUUCUUCUACUGAAAUUGUUUUUCCAUUGCUGGAUUGAAUUUUACUUUACACUCUAGGAAAGGAGUAAUUGCUCCCCUAACUUGUAUUGUAAGGGAAGUAACCUGUGUUAUAAGAACUGCAACUGACCUGCUACAUAACAGGCAGUUUCUUAUUCUUUAUCCUCAUUUAAUUGUAAAAAUUGAUAUAGAGCCAUUGUCAUUCUAAAGUUACAUGAGGAUAUCAAUGCUACAUUACUUCCAUGAUGUGGGAACCCAACAUUCCCACUCUUCUUUGACACUGUCUUAGAGCUUCUCUGUAACAGUGUCUUACAAACUCUGAGCCAUCGUUAUCAGUGGGUUAUAAAAUCAACACCAUAGGUUCUGAGUAGCAUCUUUAAGUUCCAAUGUCAUAGAAAUUUUCAGUGUCAUCUAUGGUAACACUAAGUACUUUUUGGUGAAGGUUUAAUUUUAGUUGCAUUGAUAUGACUAUGCUUAUCUGCCUGCAUGUGCUCUGGGUUGUUGUACAAUGUAAGAAAUACACCCAACUGGGGCUGGCCAAAGUGUGACAGCUCUGUGUUGCUCUAUUCCAAGGCUUUCUGCACUAUGAACAUUUUGGGCUGGGCAAGGCUUUGUUGUCAUGGCUGUUCUGUGCACUGGGGUGUGUUCACUAAGCCGCAUCCAGCCACAUGGUGUGGUACUCCUCUCCGCACCUGUUUGUGACAAUCAAGGACAAUUCUAGUCUUUGCCAAAUGUCCUAAAGACACAGCAUCACCGGUGGUUGAGAACCACUGUUCUGUUCCAAGCUGCUUGGGGGAAGAGCAUGUAGAAGGGAGCCAGGAAGAGCCGCUCAAAUGGACCAGUCAGGCUCUGCAAUGGGGCUGGACUUGGUGACAAUGCAGUUGAGAAUGGCUCUGGUCUGCAGCAACUUCAUCCCAUCCAUCUCCAUCACUGGUACUUGCUGGAACAUCAAAAGCCCAUCUAUUGCAAAGUGGAAGAAAAUGGAGAGUGAAACAUCUAUGGGGACCAUUGUUUAUGGAUGAAAACAUAUUUGUGGAAAUUACUUAAUAUAAAAAAGAGGAAAAGAUUAUUCCUUGGCCGACUUCAAGUAAAAUAGCAUUUUGUUGUUA